CACACUGCAGUGGAACAGAAGCAGUGCUGCGUGCGACAAAUAUGGGAAGGAUCAGAAACCAGAGCCUCCUUGCAUUCCUACCAGAGUGGCAGGAUUCAUAAAGGGCUGCUAUUGAGUCCCUAUGCCUCCUCUCUGAGAUCUCUGUAGACAAAUCGGAGGACAACUUUCCGGAUCAGAGCCAGGCUGAGCAUUCAGGGACAUGCAGACACCAAUUAAAAUUAUGAGAUGCCAGCCAGGAAGCGGCUACAGAUCUAGGUGACAAGGCAAGGUAAGGAGAGUUUUGGAAUCAGGCAUUUGAAAACUGCAGAUUCCAAGCCCUGCUGGCCACCAAAGCAUUUGUCCAGCU